GUUGUAUGGUUAAGUGACUAAGCGUACACGGUGGAUGCCUUGGCAGUUGGAGGCGAUGAAGGACGUACUAACUUGCGAUAAGCCUAGUCAAGCCAGUAAGAGGCGCUUGAGACUAGGAUUUCCGAAUGGGGAAACCCGGCCCUUUGGGUCAUCGUUAACUGAAUACAUAGGUUAACGAAGCGAACGCGGAGAACUGAAACAUCUAAGUACCCGUAGGAAAAGAAAUCAACCGAGAUUCCGAAAGUAGCGGCGAGCGAAAUCGGAUUAGCCCUUAAGCUUUAAUGUAGUUAGUGGAACAUUCUGGAAAGUAUGACGAUACAGGGUGACAGUCCCGUACACGACAACUUAUUUAAAGUGAAAUCGAGUAGGUCGGAGCACGUGAAACUUUGACUGAAUAUGGGGGGACCAUCCUCCAAGGCUAAAUACUCCCAACUGACCGAUAGUGAACCAGUACCGUGAGGGAAAGGCGAAAAGAACCCCUGUGAGGGGAGUGAAAUAGAACCUGAAACCGUGUACGUACAAGCAGUAGGAGCAUACUUGUUAUGUGACUGCGUACCUUUUGUAUAAUGGGUCAGCGACUUAUAUUCUGUAGCAAGGUUAACCAUUUAGGGGAGCCGUAGCGAAAGCGAGUCUUAACUGGGCGCUUAAGUUGC
rnacentral:rRNA from 1 species